UACGGAGGGUGCGAGCGUUGUCCGGAAUCAUUGGGCGUAAAGGGCGCGUAGGUGGCCUGCUAAGCGUGCGGUGAAAGUCGGGGGCUCAACCCCCGAUCGGCCGUGCGAACUGGGAGGCUUGAGCACUGUAGAGGCAGGCGGAAUUCCGGGUGUAGCGGUGGAAUGCGUAGAGAUCCGGAAGAACACCGGUGGCGAAGGCGGCCUGCUGGGCAACUGCUGACACUGAUGCGCGACAGCGUGGGGAGCAAACAGG
rnacentral:rRNA from 1 species